AAAGGAUACGCAGGCCCGUAGUAGCCAAAAGACUACAAUUACAGCGUCUUUUGCCAGUUUAACGCCGUAUGAUAAGAGCAGCCGAAGACACCGGGAGAUAACGACUGUCCAUUAACACGGUCACCAAAGACGGAUUUAAAAAUCUCCUCCGCAAGCUGGACAGAAGAUACACGAUCCCCUCCCGCACCUACUUCAGUCAGGUUGCCAUCCCACAGCUGUAUGUGGUGUAAAGAAAAAGUGGAAACAGAGCUAAGGGAUGUGGAGUAUUAUGCCACAACUACUGAUAUGUGGUCAAGCAGAACGACCAGAACGUAUCUUAGCCAUUUCAUAAAUGACAACUUUGAGUUGAAAAGUAGCUGCCUGCAGACAGCAUACUUUCCCACUGACCACAUCGGAGAAAAUAUUGCGCUGGGAUUGAGGGAGUGUCUGUCAAACUGGGGUCUGAAAGAAGAGGACCAGACGUGCAUCACAGCCGACGAUGCAGCAAACCUCAUCAAAGCUAUGAAACUUAUCAAUGGACCAGACUUCAAUGUUUUGGACACAGGCUGCAUCUUGCAAUUGAAAAUGCUGAUAAAGAUGACACAAGAGUUAAACGGGCAACAGGACUUUGAAAACAGAUGGUGUCUUCUCUCACAGCUAGAAAAAGGAGACGGCACUGAAACAGGCACAGCACGAAUUAAAUUUACCAGAGCACUCACUGAUAACAGAGAGUCCAACAAGAUGGGGCUCAAGGCAAAAAAUGAUUGGUAGGGUGUUGGAGCAGAGCAAGGCGUUGUCUCAGGUUCUGUCUGAAGACAAGAAGACACGUCACCUGGUCCCCACUUGGCAGGACACGGAUGUCCUCGAAUCGAUAAACAACGCCCUUGGUCCUCUACAGGAGUUUACAGAUGCCCUGUCCGGUGAAGCCUAUGUAAGUGAGUCAUACCUGAAGCCAGUGCUCCAUCUCCUGAGAACAUAAACCCUGACUGAAAGUGAUGAAGACACAAAUCUUACCAAGGAAAUCAAAACAAGAGCUCUUGGCUACAUUGAAGACAAAUAGAGCGACCCAGCCACACAGGAGCUACUGGACAUUACCUAUUUUCCUUGAUCCUAGAUUCAAGACUGACUACGAAAAGAGGGCUUGUGUCAGCACCACAGAUCACAUGCCCCAGGGUGCAGCAGAGGCAGAGCCAUGCACCACAGGGAAGGGAAAGCGGUCAUUGGGCAGCUUCUUCAAGAGCAAGGCUGUCCCUCCUUCUUCUUCCACUACGCAGUUGGAAGAUGCCAUCAAUGCUGAAGUGGACAACUACCUGAUGACUCCUACUAUUAACGGAGAGGAAGAUCCACAGCCCUGGUGGAGAAUGCACAAUGUUAGCUUUCCACAGCUGAGCAAACUGGCUCGUAAAUUCCUAUGCAUACCAGCUACCAGUUCGCCAUCAGAGAGAUUGUUUAGUGCUAGUUGGCAAUGUUGUCACAUGUCAGCGCUCAUGUCUAAAACCAUCAAAGGUUGACAUGCUGGUUUUCUUGACAAAAAAUCUGUAAAGAGUGAUGUAGAGAUGUCAGGGAAGCCAGUGUUAUUGUUGAUUUAUUCCUUUUGAGAUUUUAUUUGCUCUGCACAUCACCCUGACUUGUGGUGUCAGCCUUUGUUCAAAAAAGAUUUGCUAUUUUUGCUAUGUUUAAUGCAAUAUUGUUUACAGAAUAUAUGUGUUGUUGAGCCAUAGCCCGCCUAUUAUGUCUGAUAUAUUUUCCAGAAGGGAACAGGUAGGGUCAUUUUAUUUUAGCAAAAGUUUAUUUUAUUACCAAUACUUUUCAAUUUCAUUUACUGUAAGGUUUCUUUUGUAUUUUGUUAAGCUCUACUUUAAGUUAAGACAAUCAAAGAUGGCUCUUUUAGUUCUUCAGUUGUAACAACUGCCGUUGGUCAAGGACUUGAGUUCACAUGCAUGUUUCUUAAUAAAUACAUAUGAAAUCAAUUCUUAACUUUAGUUCUAAUUCUUGCAUUAGAGUAAUGGC
ensembl:lncRNA